rnacentral:lncRNA from 1 species
CCGCCAUCUUCCGGUUAAACCGUAACAACAGUUUCCUGAACACGCCAACGCUCACUGUCUGCUGCUGACGAUCACAAGAUAUGGUGUUGAUCCAGCACUCCGUUGACUGAAAUGAUGAUGAGACAGACUCUGGCACAAUCUCUGGACGUCGUCUCGGCUGAAGCUCCGCCAUGCCUCCUCAGCCUGACUCUACACAAUCAAUACACAGGAGCUGGAGAAACAGCCGCAAUCAGAACAGAACGGGAUGGCGCGCGCAUCAGACCCGAGACGUGCGGAAAGUUUUCAAGCAGUCGCUCGACGCUCGCGGGUGUUGUUCAAUUUCCCGGUAGGGAGAGGGAAAAAUCCUUGACAUCAAGUCCCUUCAUCUGCGGUCUCUCAGCGCCCCUCUCAAGCCCCCUCCUCGCGGAAAUCACGACUUCAAGUGUGCCUGGCCUUCGGUUCUCUUUUUCUGUUCUGCUGGACACUAUAAAAUAAAGAAUGUUUGG